ACGAUGGAGGACGGGUGGUGAAAAUGACAACGGUGUAUGCUCCAUCGGUCAAUGUAGAUCCAAUCCCGGCAAGUCAAUGGUGAUCAUGAGUUCAGUUUAGUUUAUUGUAACGUGUACUGAGGUACAGUGAAAAGCUUUCGUGGUGUGCUAACCAGUCAGCAGAAAGACAAUACAUGAUUACAUAAGGAGGUAGAGUGAAGGGAGUCAUCCAGCGCUGCCUAUCAGUCAAUGGGAAACACAUCUUGGCAGGGUCAACAAAGGGGUGAUGUUGGGUUCAAUGCGUGGCAUGACUCAAGUGGGUUAAAGGGAAUGAUAGCAGGAUUGGGGGGGGGGGCGCAUAAUGCAGCAGAGUGACGAGAUGGCUACAGUGCAGUGAGAUCAAUGGGGCACUCAUCUCAGCAAGACAGGGACGGAGUGAUAGCCAGGAUCAAUGGGUAGUGUAACUCCAGCGAGAUUUAAGGCGGUGAAGGCUGGUUCAAAGGGGAGGGGGAAAGAGCAUGACAAGGUAAAAGUUCAGAGUGAGCAAUGGGGAGCACAUCUCAGCUGGACUUGGUGAGAGGAGCAAUGAUGGAGGGUCGAUGGGUAGCGUGGCUCCAACUUAUUGUCAUGUGUACCAUGGUACAGUGAAAAGCUUUUGUUGCGUGCUAACUAAAUUUAAAGAGAAUGGUGGCCAGAUGAGGGGGGGGGGGGGGGCACAAGUUCAUGGGAUCAUCGGGAUGCACAUCUCAGCUGGACUGGGAGAGAGGAGCAAUGAUGGAGGGACAGUGGGUAGAGUGGCUCUAGCCGAGUUCAAGGAAAUGAUAGACACAAAAUGUUGGCGUUUGUGACCCCCCUCCUCCACAGUAACUCAGCGGGACAGACAGCAUCUCUGGAGAGAAGGAAUGGGCUGGAUCAAAGGGGAGGGGGCAAGUUCAAGGGAUAGGAGCAAGGAUGGAGGGACAAUGGGUAGAGUGGCUCUCGCUGCGUUAAAGGGAAUGAUAGACACAAAAGGUUGGAGUAACUCAGCGGGACAGUCAGCAUCUCUGGAGAGAAGGAAUAGGCUGGAUCAAAGGGGAGGGGGCAAGUUCAAGGGAUUAAUCGGGUACACAUCACUAGGAGAGUGGAGCAACGGUGGAGGUUCAAUGGAUAACGUGGCUGUAACUGAGUUAAAGGGAACGAUGGCUGGAUCAAGCGGAGGGGGCAAGUUCAAGGGAUUAAUCGGGUACACAUCACUAGGAGAGUGGAGCAACGGUGGGGGUUCAAUGGAUAACGUGGCUGUAACUGAGUUAAAGGGAACGAUGGCUGGAUCAAGCGGAGGGGGCAAGUUCAAGGGAUUAAUCGGGUACACAUCACUAGGAGAGUGGAGCAACGGUGGAGGUUCAAUGGAUAACGUGGGUGUAACUGAGUUAAAGGGAAUGAUGGCUGGAUCAAGGGGAGGACUGUUCAUGGGAUCUAUGGGGUGCAUAUCUCAGUUGGAUGUGGAGGAGGGGGUCAGCCACACUGUAGGGCCAGGCGGGGAUGACAGCGGGUGGACGGUGCCAUCAAUGGGGGCCUGGGAGAUGAAUCAAUGACAGUGUGACCUGUACAUCUUUGGAGUGUGGGAGAAAACCGAAGAUCUCGGAGUAAACCCACGCGGUCGCGGGUAGAAUGUACACUCUCCGUACAGACAGCACCCAUAAUUGGUGUCGAACCCAAGGAACCGAAGACCAAGGAACUGAUUGUGAAUUUUGGAAGAUUCAAGCUCCCAUUCGCGGGAGCUUCGAUCGCCCCAACUGCGGAAGUUUUGAUUGGCCCCACCGUGGGAGAAAAGGAGGUACAAGUUAUUUGCCUUCCAUCACAGUGGGGAAUGUGAGGUCGCCGAAAAAACAAGAUGGAUGUGCUGCCUGCACUGGUGAGGACUCGGACGGAGUGCCAUGAGUGCAGUGAUCUCGGUGUUUUGCUGGGGCCUAGCUCCAUGAGGAUAUCCCGGAGUUUAGUGCGAGUGUGGACGGCUUUCUGACUGUUUCGGCGGACAAGGACUGCAGAGAGAGUGACAGCAGUAGGUACAACUGGUCACAUCACGGUGAAGGAGCGUGUUUGUGCUCUGGACAUCAAACUGAUGGCUAUGUGUCCUGGGGAUUCUCACACGCCGUUGUGGAGGCUGUUUAAGUCUAUGUUUAAUUUUUAUGCAGUUAUGUAUCUUGUUGCUUUUUUGUAUGACUGUUGGCAAAUCUAAUUCUUGUAUGCUUACAUACUUGGUUAAUAAAUUAAUCACAUUACAAUUAAAUUAAUUACAAUAUGAGGAGAAAGCAGGAAUGGGGUACUGAUUUUGGAUGUGUUCAAGAAGGAACUGCAGAUGCUGGAAGAUCGAAGGUACACAAAAUUGCUGGAGAAACGCAGCUGGUGCAGCAGUAUCUA